GUUAUAUGGUCAAGCGAAUAAGCGCACACGGUGGAUGCCUAGGCGGUCAGAGGCGAUGAAGGACGUGGUAGCCUGCGAAAAGUGUCGGGGAGCUGGCAACAAGCUUUGAUCCGGCAAUGUCCGAAUGGGGAAACCCACUGCUUCGGCAGUAUCCUGCAGUGAAUUCAUAGCUGCUGGAAGCGAACCCGGUGAACUGAAAUAUCUAAGUAACCGGAGGAAAAGAAAUCAACCGAGAUUCCCUAAGUAGUGACGAGCGAACGGGGAACAGCCCUUAAGCUGGAAUGGCUUUAGAAAAACAAUCUGGAAAGAUUGGCCAUAGAAGGUGAUAGCCCUGUAUUUAAAAGGGCCACUCCAGUGAAGACGAGUAGGGCGGGGCACGUGAAACCCUGUCUGAAUAUGGGGGGACCAUCCUCCAAGGCUAAAUACUCCUGACCGACCGAUAGUGAACCAGUACCGUGAGGGAAAGGCGAAAAGAACCCCGGAGAGGGGAGUGAAAUAGAUCCUGAAACCGUGUGCGUACAAGCAGUAGGAGCUCGCAAGAGUGACUGCGUACCUUUUGUAUAAUGGGUCAGCGACUUACUGUUCGUGGCAAGCUUAACCGUAUAGGGGAGGCGAAGGGAAACCGAGUCUGAUAAGGGCGCAUAGUCGCGGGCAGUAGACCCGAAACCGGGUGAUCUAGUCAUGGCCAGGGUGAAGGUGCCGUAACAGGUACUGGAGGCCCGAACCCACGUCUGUUGCAAAAGACGGGGAUGAGCUGUGAUUAGGAGUGAAAAGCUAAUCGAACCCGGAGAUAGCUGGUUCUCCUCGAAAGCUAUUUAGGUAGCGCCUCGGACGAAUACUACUGGGGGUAGAGCACUGUUAUGGCUAGGGGGUCAUCGCGACUUACCAAACCAUUGCAAACUCCGAAUACCAGUACGUACUAUCCGGGAGACACACGGCGGGUGCUAACGUCCGUCGUGAAAAGGGAAACAACCCAGACCCACAGCUAAGGUCCCAAAUUCACUGCUAAGUGGAAAACGAUGUGGAAAGGCAUAGACAGCCAGGAGGUUGGCUUAGAAGCAGCCACCCUUUAAAGAAAGCGUAAUAGCUCACUGGUCGAGUCGGUCUGCGCGGAAGAUUUAACGGGGCUAAGCAGUGAACCGAAGCUUGGGGUGCGUAAAACUUCGGUUUUAUGCGCGGUAGAGGAGCGUUCCGUAAGCCUGCGAAGGUGGAUUGAGAAGUCUGCUGGAGGUAUCGGAAGUGCGAAUGCUGACAUGAGUAACGAUAAUGCGGGUGAAAAGCCCGCACGCCGAAAGCCCAAGGUUUCCUUGCGCAACGUUAAUCGACGCAGGGUUAGUCGGUCCCUAAGGCGAGGGCGAAAGCCGUAGUCGAUGGGAAGCAGGUUAAUAUUCCUGCACCUCGCGUGAGUGCGAUGGAGGGACGGAGAAGGUUAGGUGUACCGGGCGUUGGUUGUCCCGGGGAAAGGCGGUAGGUUUGGAUCUUUGGCAAAUCCGGGAUCCUUUAAGACCGAGCACCGAGACGAGCCUUUAUGGCGAAGUCACUGAUACCACGCUUCCAGGAAAAGCUCCUAAGCUUCAGCUCACGAAGACCGUACCGUAAACCGACACAGGUGGGUAGGAUGAGAAUUCUCAGGCGCUUGAGAGAACUCGGGUGAAGGAACUAGGCAACAUGGCACCGUAACUUCGGGAGAAGGUGCACCCUUUUUGGUGGCUCAUGCGAGCUAUAGCUGAAGAGGGUCGCAGAAACCAGGCCGCUGCGACUGUUUAUCAAAAACACAGCACUCUGCAAACACGAAAGUGGACGUAUAGGGUGUGACGCCUGCCCGGUGCUGGAAGGUUAAUUGAUGGGGUCAGCCGCAAGGCGAAGCUCUUGAUCGAAGCCCCAGUAAACGGCGGCCGUAACUAUAACGGUCCUAAGGUAGCGAAAUUCCUUGUCGGGUAAGUUCCGACCUGCACGAAUGGCGUAACGACAGCGGCGCUGUCUCCACCCGAGACUCAGUGAAAUUGAAAUCGCUGUGAAGAUGCAGCGUUCCCGUGGCAAGACGGAAAGACCCCGUGAACCUUUACUAUAGCUUUACACUGAACGUUGAGUUCGUCUGUGUAGGAUAGGUGGGAGGCUAUGAAACUGUGGCGCUAGCUGCAGUGGAGCCAUCCUUGAAAUACCACCCUGUCGUGCUUGACGUUCUAACCUAGAUCCGUUAUCCGGAUCAGGGACCGUGUAUGGUGGGUAGUUUGACUGGGGCGGUCUCCUCCUAAAGAGUAACGGAGGAGCACGAAGGUACGCUCAGCGCGGUCGGACAUCGCGCACUGUGUGCAAAGGCAUAAGCGUGCUUGACUGCAAGAUCGACGGAUCAAGCAGGUACGAAAGUAGGUCUUAGUGAUCCGGUGGUUCUGUAUGGAAGGGCCAUCGCUCAACGGAUAAAAGGUACUCCGGGGAUAACAGGCUGAUACCGCCCAAGAGUUCAUAUCGACGGCGGUGUUUGGCACCUCGAUGUCGGCUCAUCACAUCCUGGGGCUGUAGUCGGUCCCAAGGGUAUGGCUGUUCGCCAUUUAAAGUGGUACGCGAGCUGGGUUCAGAACGUCGUGAGACAGUUCGGUCCCUAUCUGCCAUGGGCGUUGGAAGUUUGAGAGGGGCUGCUCCUAGUACGAGAGGACCGGAGUGGACGAACCUCUGGUGUUCCGGUUGUCACGCCAGUGGCAUUGCCGGGUAGCUAUGUUCGGAAGCGAUAACCGCUGAAAGCAUCUAAGCGGGAAGCGCGCCUCAAGAUGAGACUUCCCGGGGCACAAGCCCCCUAAAGGAACCAUAUAGACUAUGUGGUUGAUAGGUCAGGUGUGUAAGUACAGCAAUGUAUUGAGCUAACUGAUACUAAUGAUCCGUGCGGCUUGACCAUAUAACCU
rnacentral:rRNA from 1 species